AUUGAACGCUGGCGGAAUGCUUUACACAUGCAAGUCGAACGGCAGCAUGGACUUCGGUCUGGUGGCGAGUGGCGAACGGGUGAGUAACAUAUCGGAACGUAUCCAAUAAUGGGGGAUAACGAGUCGAAAGAUUCGCUAAUACCGCAUACGCCCUACGGGGGAAAGCUGGGGACCUUCGGGCCUGGCGUUAAUGGAGCGGCCGAUAUCUGAUUAGCUAGUUGGUGAGGUAAAGGCUCACCAAGGCGACGAUCAGUAGCUGGUCUGAGAGGACGAACAGCCACACUGGAACUGAGACACGGUCCAGACUCCUACGGGAGGCAGCAGUGGGGAAUUUUGGCCAAUGGGCGCAAGCCUGAUCCAGCCAUUCCGCGUGAGUGAAGAAGGCCUUCGGGUUGUAAAGCUCUUUCGCAAGGGAAGAAAACUUAGCCACUAACAUUGGUUGAGGUUGACGGUACCUUGAUAAGAAGCACCGGCUAACUACGUGCCAGCCGCCGCGGUAA
rnacentral:rRNA from 1 species